AAACCCGAGCCGAUCGAACGGCUGCAUCAGCAUGGCUGAAUCAGUCUAGUCCGGCGCCAUCUUUGUUUUUGUGAGCUCGGUGUUUGCACGUGAGAUAACCGUUUUCUUCGCACGCGUCCGCUUUCUCAAAAUGUGUUGUAUGAGGUGGAUUGCGAAGCAGCAGUGGGAUAUUUUCCCUGAAUGGGCUAUGCAGAUCCUAGAGUAGGAGCGAGUCUUCUCACAGAAUCGAGACAAUCAAGAUGGCAUCGAAAGGCAGCCCUGCCGUGUCCUCGUUGUGUGUUGGAUAGAAGAAGAACCUCCGGUUGAGGACCACAUUUCGCGUUGAAGACGACGAAUACGUUGGGGGAACCGGGGCGAGCAGUAACACGCGGGCAAGCAGUAUACCUGCUCGAAAAGGACGACUCAAGUUUCAGUGCAGGCCGCGACUUUUACUUGGUGUGUGUGAGCUUGUGCCUUUGUUGUCAUCAACCAAGGAACUUCUCUGACACAAUUCGUGAGAAAAGAACGAUGCGCACUGCACAGCAGCUAGCUAGGUCGGGGAGAAGCAGAUUCCGAAGGGGAUUAGCCGAUGAGGCUUCGUUAAGGAUCCUGACCAUUUCACUCAGAUUCACUCCAAACAAGAACUCACUCCUAAUUGUAUACCCCAGGAGCAACAAGGGAGGUCAUGUCUGAACUUGCACGUCAGCACCAGAAAGCAGUUUCAGCAGGGCAGCACAGGACAAGAUGCUGAGGACACAGUGACCACCGUGCAACUGAAGUCUUGCCUGUGUCCCAUGUGAUGAACAGUUGUCUACCCAUAGUUUUCUACAUUACAUACUACCUGCCUGUGGAACCCCCCAGCUCUUAUGUACAGGUAUCCGCACAGUUAACUAAUCUCCAGCUCCUGUGGCUUUGCCCCGAUAAGCGCCCAACUAACGGCUGACGACGCAAACACUAGUGAACUCGUCCAGAGGUGGCGGGAUUUUUCUUCUACUGCAUUCCUGUGCGCACUCGUGCUAUAAGACAAAAACACACACGCGCGCAACAGAAUAGCAGAAAAAAAGAUAAGAAGUCUGCAAUCUUCAUCUUUUUUCUUUGUGUGUGUGUCUCAUACGACAUACCUUCGUUUGUAAGCGUGAGUUGGGCCCACCCCUGGACGAGCUCACUUGUGUUUGCGUCGCCAGCCGCUAGUUGG